rnacentral:rRNA from 1 species
UACGAAGGGGGCUAGCGUUGUUCGGAAUUACUGGGCGUAAAGCGCACGUAGGCGGACUACUAAGUCAGGGGUGAAAUCCCGGGGCUCAACCCCGGAACUGCCUUUGAUACUGAUAGUCUCGAGUCCGGAAGAGGUGAGUGGAAUUCCGAGUGUAGAGGUGAAAUUCGUAGAUAUUCGCAAGAACACCAGUGGCGAAGGCGGCUCACUGGCCCGGUACUGACGCUGAGGUGCGAAAGCGUGGGGAGCAAACAGG